rnacentral:rRNA from 1 species
AGAGUUUGAUCAUGGCUCAGAACGAACGCUGGCGGCAGGCCUCAAACAUGCAAGUCUAGGGGGUGUAGCAAUACAUCACCGGCGGACGGGUGCGUAACGCGUGGGAAUAUACCUAUCGAUUCGGAACAACUGAGGGAAACUUCAGCUAAUACCGAAUACGUCCUUACGGAGAAAGAUUUAUCGUCGAUAGAUUAGCCCGCGUUCGAUUAGCUAGUUGGUGGGGUAACGGCUCACCAAGGCGACGAUCGAUAGCUGUUCUGAGAGGAAGAUCAGCCACACUGGGACUGAGACACGGCCCAGACUCCUACGGGAGGCAGCAGUUGGGAAUCUUGGACAAUGGGGGAAACCCUGAUCCAGCCAUGCCGCGUGAGUGAUGAAGGCCUUCGGGUUGUAAAACUCUUUCGCGCACGACGAUAAUGACGGUAGUGCGAGAAGAAGCUCCGGCUAACUUCGUGCCAGCAGCCGCGGUAAUACGAAGGGGGCUAGCGUUGUUCGGAAUUACUGGGCGUAAAGCGCGCGCAGGCGGUCUUCCAAGUCAGUGGUGAAAGCCCGGAGCUCAACUCCGGAACUGCCAUUGAAACUGUUAGACUUGAGUAUGAGAGAGGUGAGUGGAAUUCCCAGUGUAGAGGUGAAAUUCGUAGAUAUUGGGAAGAACACCGGUGGCGAAGGCGGCUCACUGGCUCAUUACUGACGCUCAGGCGCGACAGCGUGGGGAUCAAACAGGAUUAGAUACCCCGGUAGUCC